rnacentral:rRNA from 1 species
UACGUAGGGAGCAAGCGUUGUCCGGAAUCAUUGGGCGUAAAGCGCGCGUAGGCGGCCCUGUAAGUCCGUUGUGAAAGUCAAAGGCUCAACCUUUGAAAGCCGAUGGAUACUGCAGGGCUAGAGUCCGGAAGAGGCGAGUGGAAUUCCUGGUGUAGCGGUGGAAUGCGCAGAUAUCAGGAGGAACACCAAUAGCGAAGGCAGCUCGCUGGGACGGUACUGACGCUGAGGCGCGAAAGCUAGGGGAGCGAACAGG